rnacentral:rRNA from 1 species
ACUGAUUGAACGUGCUUGCACGGACUUGACGUUGGUUUACCAGCGAGUGGCGGACGGGUGAGUAACACGUAGGUAACCUGCCCCAAAGCGGGGGAUAACAUUUGGAAACAGAUGCUAAUACCGCAUAACAAUUUGAAUCGCAUGAUUCAAAUUUAAAAGAUGGUUUCGGCUAUCACUUUGGGAUGGACCUGCGGCGCAUUAGCUUGUUGGUAGGGUAACGGCCUACCAAGGCUGUGAUGCGUAGCCGAGUUGAGAGACUGAUCGGCCACAAUGGAACUGAGACACGGUCCAUACUCCUACGGGAGGCAGCAGUAGGGAAUCUUCCACAAUGGGCGCAAGCCUGAUGGAGCAACACCGCGUGAGUGAAGAAGGGUUUCGGCUCGUAAAGCUCUGUUGUUAGAGAAGAACGUGCGUGAGAGCAACUGUUCACGCAGUGACGGUAUCUAACCAGAAAGUCACGGCUAACUACGUGCCAGCAGCCGCGGUAAUACGUAGGUGGCAAGCGUUAUCCGGAUUUAUUGGGCGUAAAGCGAGCGCAGGCGGUUUGAUAAGUCUGAUGUGAAAGCCUUUGGCUUAACCAAAGAAGUGCAUCGGAAACUGUCAGACUUGAGUGCAGAAGAGGACAGUGGAACUCCAUGUGUAGCGGUGGAAUGCGUAGAUAUAUGGAAGAACACCAGUGGCGAAGGCGGCUGUCUGGUCUGCAACUGACGCUGAGGCUCGAAAGCAUGGGUAGCGAACAGGAUUAGAUACCCUGGUAGUCCAUGCCGUAAACGAUGAGUGCUAGGUGUUGGAGGGUUUCCGCCCUUCAGUGCCGCAGCU